rnacentral:rRNA from 1 species
GACGAACCAUCCAAACGUUAUUCGGAAUUACUGGGCUUAAAGGGUGCGUAGGCGGCGCAGUAAGUUGGGUGUGAAAUCCCUCGGCUUAACCGAGGAACUGCGCCCAAAACUACUGUGCUUGAGGGAGACAGAGGUGAGCGGAACUUAGGGUGGAGCGGUGAAAUGCGUUGAUAUCCUAAGGAACACCCGUGGCGAAAGCGGCUCACUGGGUCUCUUCUGACGCUGAUGCACGAAAGCUAGGGGAGCGAACGGG